rnacentral:ncRNA from 2 species
UCAUAGUUAUAUGACUGACGGAAGUGGAAUGGACCACAGGGAGUAUAAUGUUAGAUAAGCCGACCGUCUGGGCGUUUGUU